GACGAACGCUGGCGGCGUGCUUAACACAUGCAAGUCGAACGGAAAGGCCCUGCUUUUGUGGGGUGCUCGAGUGGCGAACGGGUGAGUAACACGUGAGUAACCUGCCCUUGACUUUGGGAUAACUUCAGGAAACUGGGGCUAAUACCGGAUAGGAGCUCCUGCUGCAUGGUGGGGGUUGGAAAGUUUCGGCGGUUGGGGAUGGACUCGCGGCUUAUCAGCUUGUUGGUGGGGUAGUGGCUUACCAAGGCUUUGACGGGUAGCUGGCCUGAGAGGGUGACCGGCCACAUUGGGACUGAGAUACGGCCCAGACUCCCACGGGAGGCAGCAGUGGGGAAUAUUGCACAAUGGGCGGAAGCCUGAUGCAGCAACGCCGCGUGCGGGAUGACGGCCUUCGGGUUGUAAACCGCUUUCGCCUGUGACGAAGCGUGAGUGACGGUAAUGGGUAAAGAAGCACCGGCUAACUACGUGCCAGCAGCCGCGGUGAUACGUAGGGUGCGAGCGUUGUCCGGAUUUAUUGGGCGUAAAGGGCUCGUAGGUGGUUGAUCGCGUCGGAAGUGUAAUCUUGGGGCUUAACCCUGAGCGUGCUUUCGAUACGGGUUGACUUGAGGAAGGUAGGGGAGAAUGGAAUUCCUGGUGGAGCGGUGGAAUGCGCAGAUAUCAGGAGGACCACCAGUGGCGAAGGCGGUUCUCUGGGCCUUUCCUGACGCUGAGGAGCGAAAGCGUGGGGAGCGAACAGGCUUAGAUACCCUGGUAGUCCACGCUGUAAACGGUGGGUACUAGGUGUGGGGUCCAUUCCACGGGUUCCGUGCCGUAGCUAACGCUUUAAGUACCCCGCCUGGGGAGUACGGCCGCAAGGCUAAAACUCAAAGGAAUUGACGGGGCCCCGCACAAGCGGCGGAGCAUGCGGAUUAAUUCGAUGCAACGCGUAGAACCUUACCUGGGUUUGACAUGGAUCGGGAGUGCUCAGAGAUGGGUGUGCCUCUUUUGGGGUCGGUUCACAGGUGGUGCAUGGCUGUCGUCAGCUCGUGUCGUGAGAUGUUGGGUUAAGUCCCGCAACGAGCGCAACCCUUGUUCACUGUUGCCAGCACGUUAUGGUGGGGACUCAGUGGAGACCGCCGGGGUCAACUCGGAGGAAGGUGGGGAUGACGUCAAGUCAUCAUGCCCCUUAUGUCCAGGGCUUCACGCAUGCUACAAUGGCUGGUACAGAGAGUGGCGAGCCUGUGAGGGUGAGCGAAUCUCGGAAAGCCGGUCUCAGUUCGGAUUGGGGUCUGUAACUCGACCUCAUGAAGUCGGAGUCGCUAGUAAUCGCAGAUCAGCAACGCUGCGGUGAAUACGUUCCCGGG
rnacentral:rRNA from 1 species